GUGCUGGCUUCAGCAGCACAUAUACUAAAAUUGGAACAAUACAGAGAACGUUAGCGUGGACCCUACUCAGUGCGGACACAUUCAUGAUACGUUCCAUAUUUUU
ensembl:snRNA U6 U6 spliceosomal RNA